CUUCAGUGAAGAUGAGAUGACGAGUCUGAAAGGAAAUAUCCUUGUCCAAGCACCCUUUAUCCUGUUGUGUCCUACAGCGUGGAUUUGGGGGCCUUGGGUCACAAUUUGAGUGACUUUGAGGCAUUUGUCUGAGAAGG
rnacentral:snoRNA from 1 species